AAUCCAAAUGAUGAAUAUGGAUUUACAUUUUUUUCACGACGGUCGUCUAAGUUCACUAUGAAGUAUUAAUAUGAUAUUUAUGAUGGGU